GAACGCACAUUGCGCCCUGUGGUAUUCCGCAGGGCAUGCCUGUUCGAGCGUCAUUUCAACCCUCAAGCCCUGCUUGGUGUUGGGCCCUGCCUGUCGCGGCCGGCCCCAAAGUCAGUGGCGGUGCCGUGUGGCUCUAAGCGUAGUACGUCUCUCGCUCUAGGGUCCCACAGCGGCUUGCCAGAACCCCGAAUUCUAUGGUUGACCUCGGAUCAGGUAGGGAUACCCGCUGAACUUAA
rnacentral:misc_RNA from 1 species